rnacentral:rRNA from 1 species
UACGGAGGGUGCGAGCGUUAUCCGGAUUUAUUGGGUUUAAAGGGUGCGUAGGCGGAUCGUUAAGUCAGUGGUCAAAUUGAGGGGCUCAACCCCUUCCCGCCAUUGAAACUGGCGACCUUGAGUGGAAGAGAAGUAUGCGGAAUGCGUGGUGUAGCGGUGAAAUGCAUAGAUAUCACGCAGAACCCCGAUUGCGAAGGCAGCAUGCCGGCUUCCGACUGACGCUGAAGCACGAAAGCGUGGGGAUCGAACAGG